rnacentral:rRNA from 1 species
CUUAAGCAUAUCAAUAAGCGGAGGAAAAAGAAACCAACAGGGAUUGCCCCCAGUAACGGCGAGUGAAGCGGCAACAGCUCAAAUUUGAAAUCUGGCCUUGUGCCCGAGUUGUAAUUUGUAGAGGAUGCUUUUGGCGACGCGCCUUCCGAGUUCCCUGGAACGGGACGCCAUAGAGGGUGAGAGCCCCGUCCGGUCGUGCGCCUAGCCUCUGUAAAGCUCCUUCGACGAGUCGAGUAGUUUGGGAAUGCUGCUCUAAAUGGGAGGUAUACGUCUUCUAAAGCUAAAUACCGGCCAGAGACCGAUAGCGCACAAGUAGAGUGAUCGAAAGAUGAAAAGCACUUUGAAAAGAGGGUUAAAUAGUACGUGAAAUUGCUGAAAGGGAAGCGCUUAUGACCAGACUUGGGCGCGGCGGAUCAUCCGGCGUUCUCGCCGGUGCACUCCACCGCCCCAGGCCAGCAUCAGUUCGCGCCGGGGGAUAAAGGCUUCGGGAAUGUGGCUCCUCCGGGAGUGUUAUAGCCCGUUGUGUAAUACCCUGGUGCGGACUGAGGUCCGCGCUCUGCAAGGAUGCUGGCGUAAUGGUCAUCAGUGACCCGUCUUGAAACACGGACCAAGGAGUCGUCUUCGUAUGCGAGUGUUCGGGUGUCAAACCCCUACGCGGAAUGAAAGUGAACGUAGGAGAGAGCUUCGGCGCAUCUCCGACCGAUCCUGAUGUUCUCGGAUGGAUUUGAGUAAGAGCAUACGGGGCCGGACCCGAAAGAAGGUGAACUAUGCCUGUGUAGGGUGAAGCCAGAGGAAACUCUGGUGGAGGCUCGCAGCGGUUCUGACGUGCAAAUCGAUCGUCAAACAUGGGCAUGGGGCGAAAGACUAAUCGAUCCCGGCGGGGGG